rnacentral:rRNA from 1 species
AACGAACGCUGGCGGCAUGCCUAACACAUGCAAGUCGAACGAGACCUUCGGGUCUAGUGGCGCACGGGUGCGUAACGCGUGGGAACCUGCCCUUAGGUUCGGAAUAACUCCCCGAAAGGGGUGCUAAUACCGGAUAAUUUCUUCGGACCAAAGAUUUAUCGCCUUUGGAUGGGCCCGCGUUGGAUUAGCUAGUUGGUAGGGUAAAAGCCUACCAAGGCGACGAUCCAUAGCUGGUCUGAGAGGAUGGUCAGCCACACUGGGACUGAGACACGGCCCAGACUCCUACGGGAGGCAGGAGUGGGGAAUAUUGGAAAAUGGGCGAAAGCCUGAUCCAGCAAUGCCGCGUGAGUGAUGAAGGCCUUAGGGUUGUAAAGCUCUUUUACCCGGGAUGAUAAUGACGGUACCGGGAGAAUAAGCUCCGGCUAACUCCGUG